GACGUCGAUAUUCGACGUCAUAAACACGACCAAGUUUGGCGUUGAUGACGUCGACGUUAUAAACACGAUCAACUUUGGUGUUUAUAACGUCGAUAUUCGACAUCAUAAACACGAUCAACUUUGGUGUUUAUGACGUCGAUAUUCGACGUCAUAAACCGGAUCAACUUUGGUGUUUAUGACGUCGACGUUAUAAACACGAUCAGCUUUGGUGUUUAUGACAUCGAUAUUCGACGUC
rnacentral:miRNA from 1 species